rnacentral:rRNA from 1 species
GAUGAACGCUGGCGGCGUGCCUAAUACAUGCAAGUCGAGCGAAUGGAUUAAGAGCUUGCUCUUAUGAAGUUAGCGGCGGACGGGUGAGUAACACGUGGGUAACCUGCCCAUAAGACUGGGAUAACUCCGGGAAACCGGGGCUAAUACCGGAUAACAUUUUGAACCGCAUGGUUCGAAAUUGAAAGGCGGCUUCGGCUGUCACUUAUGGAUGGACCCGCGUCGCAUUAGCUAGUUGGUGAGGUAACGGCUCACCAAGGCAACGAUGCGUAGCCGACCUGGGAGGGUAGUCGGCCACACUGGGACUGAGACACGGCCCAGACUCCUACGGGAGGCAGCAGUAGGGAAUCUUCCGCAAUGGACGAAAGUCUGACGGAGCAACGCCGCGUGAGUGACGAAGGCUUUCGGGUCGUAAACCUCUGUUGUUAGGGAAGAACAAGUGCUAGUUGAAUAAGCUGGCACCUUGACGGUACCUAACCAGAAAGCCACGGCUAACUACGUGCCAGCCGCCGCGGUAA